rnacentral:rRNA from 1 species
GCCCUAGUAACGGCGAGUGAAGCGGCAACAGCUCAAAUUUGAAAUCUGGCCCUCGUGGUCCGAGUUGUAAUUUGUAGAGGAUGCUUUUGGUGCGGUCCUUCCGAGUUCCCUGGAACGGGACGCCAUAGAGGGUGAGAGCCCCGUCUGGUCGGAUACCAAUCCUCUGUAAAGCUCCUUCGACGAGUCGAGUAGUUUGGGAAUGCUGCUCUAAAUGGGAGGUAUAUGUCUUCUAAAGCUAAAUAUAGGCCAGAGACCGAUAGCGCACAAGUAGAGUGAUCGAAAGAUGAAAAGCACUUUGAAAAGAGGGUUAAACAGUACGUGAAAUUGUUGAAAGGGAAGCGUUUGUGACCAGACUUGGGCUCGGUCAAUCAUCCAGCGUUCUCGCUGGUGCACUUGUCCGGGUCCAGGCCAGCAUCAGUUCGCUGCGGGGGAAAAAGGCUUCGGGAAUGUGGCUCCUCGGAGUGUUAUAGCCCGUUGCACAAUACCCUGCGGUGGACUGAGGUUCGCGCUUCUGCAAGGAUGCUGGCGUAAUGGUCAUCAACGACCCGUCUUGAAACACGGACCAAGGAGUCGUCUUCGUAUGCGAGUGUUCGGGUGUCAAACCCCUACGCGUAAUGAAAGUGAACGGAGGUGGGAGCCUUCUGGCGCACCAUCGACCGAUCCUGAUGUUUUCGGAUGGAUUUGAGUAAGAGCAUACGGGGCCGGACCCGAAAGAAGGUGAACUAUGCCUGUAUAGGGUGAAGCCAGAGGAAACUCUGGUGGAGGCUCGCAGCGGUUCUGACGUGCAAAUCGAUCGUCAAAUAUGGCAUGGGGCGAAAGACUAAUCG